rnacentral:rRNA from 2 species
UACGUAGGGUGCGAGCGUUAAUCGGAAUUACUGGGCGUAAAGGGUGCGCAGGUGGUUACGUAAGUCUGAUGUGAAAGCCCCGGGCUCAACCUGGGAACUGCAUUGGAGACUGCGUGGCUAGAGUGUGGCAGAGGGGGGUGGAAUUCCGCGUGUAGCAGUGAAAUGCGUAGAGAUGCGGAGGAACACCAAUGGCGAAGGCAGCCCCCUGGGUUAACACUGACACUCAUGCACGAAAGCGUGGGGAGCAAACAGG